rnacentral:rRNA from 1 species
UACAGGGGGGGCAAGCGUUGUUCGGAAUUACUGGGCGUAAAGGGUUCGUAGGUGGCUUACUAAGUCAAACGUGAAAUCCCUCAGCUUAACUGGGGAACUGCGUCUGAUACUGGAAAGCUUGAGUGCAGGAGAGGAACGCGGAAUUCCAGGUGUAGCGGUGAAAUGCGUAGAUAUCUGGAGGAACACCGGUGGCGAAGGCGGAUCUCUGGGCCAUUACUGACGCUGAGGAGCGAAAGCGUGGGGAGCGAACAGG